rnacentral:rRNA from 1 species
GACGAGGGGUCCAAGCGUUGUUCGGAAUCAUUGGGCGUAAAGCGGGUGUAGGUGGCUUUGUAAGUCAGGAGUGGAAUCCCCGAGCUUAACUUGGGAAGUGCUUUUGAAACUGCAGAGCUUGAGUGUGGGAGAGGAUCGUGGAAUUCCAGGUGUAGUGGUGAAAUACGUAGAUAUCUGGAGGAACACCGGUGGCGAAGGCGGCGAUCUGGCCCAACACUGACACUGAGACCCGAAAGCGUGGGGAUCAAACAGG